AUUGAACGCUGGCGGCAGGCUUAACACAUGCAAGUCGAGCGGAAACGAUGAUAGCUUGCUAUCAGGCGUCGAGCGGCGGACGGGUGAGUAAUACUUAGGAAUCUACCUAGUAGUGGGGGAUAGCACGGGGAAACUCGUAUUAAUACCGCAUACGACCUACGGGAGAAAGGGGGCAGUUUACUGCUCUCGCUAUUAGAUGAGCCUAAGUCGGAUUAGCUAGAUGGUGGGGUAAAGGCCUACCAUGGCGACGAUCUGUAGCUGGUCUGAGAGGAUGAUCAGCCACACCGGGACUGAGACACGGCCCGGACUCCUACGGGAGGCAGCAGUGGGGAAUAUUGGACAAUGGGGGAAACCCUGAUCCAGCCAUGCCGCGUGUGUGAAGAAGGCCUUUUGGUUGUAAAGCACUUUAAGCAGUGAAGAAGACUCCUCGGUUAAUACCCGUGGACGAUGACAUUAGCUGCAGAAUAAGCACCGGCUAACUCUGUGCCAGCAGCCGCGGUAAUACAGAGGGUGCAAGCGUUAAUCGGAAUUACUGGGCGUAAAGCGAGCGUAGGUGGCUUGAUAAGUCAGAUGUGAAAUCCCCGGGCUUAACCUGGGAACUGCAUCUGAAACUGUUAGGCUAGAGUAGGUGAGAGGGAAGUAGAAUUUCAGGUGUAGCGGUGAAAUGCGUAGAGAUCUGAAGGAAUACCGAUGGCGAAGGCAGCUUCCUGGCAUCAUACUGACACUGAGGCUCGAAAGCGUGGGUAGCAAACAGG
rnacentral:rRNA from 1 species